UCAAAUGAUCUGCCUCUUUAAAAUAUAUAGAGGCCUGCUGCGUGAAAGAUGAAUAAUUUAUCACAUGGAUAACUUUCAUCGAUACGAUGAAUGUCUUAUAUCCUCAUUUAAGUCUUAGUGUCUUAUAUUACGGUGGCCCAUAAGGGACACGACUUCUUUAUACAAAACUCACGUCCAGUUUCUACGGAGAAAUCGACCUUCUCCGUAGAAAUAGACCUUCUCCGUGGAAAUAGACCUUCUCCGUGGAAAUGGCAAAUAGCGGCUCUAGAUGUCAAAUAUAUCAAAUUCUAACAAUUCAAAAUGGCGGCGGAAACCACAAAGCGAAACUUGUAUAGCGAAAGUGAGACCUUUAAAUGGCGCGUUUUUGUAGCGAAUGUGGCACGGAAUUUGCUAAUGAGGCAGCAAAAUACUGUCAUAACUGCGGGAAACCAACAUCUGCAGAAAACCUACCUUCAACACCAAGCACUGAUGAGCCAACAUUAUAAUCCAGUUUAAGUUCAAGUUUGCUGUUGCCAAAUGACUCCACUAGGCCAAUGUCAACAUUAACAUUCAACGAAUAUCGGAAAAGAAUGCAAAUCCUACUUACCAGUACAAGACUUACGAAAAUGUGACCACCAGUUUUCAAUCCUUUGGUUUCUAGUGGAUGUUCCAUAUUUAUGAGCAUUCUCAUCAUCAUGAAAAUAACAUUGAAUGGCUGCAAUAUCACCAUUCUCUGUUCCAUAAUCUGAACAAGUUAGCAAGGGGCAUCCACCAUGUUUGAUCACACAAUCCAAAUACAAUUUUGUAGGCUCUUUUGGAGAGUUGUUUGACUUGCAUAUCUCCAACCACAAAACCUUCCUACUAAAGCCAUCAAUUGCUGCAUGUAUAGGGAAGCCAAAGGGUUUGAGCUUAUCAUAUCCUGUACGGAAUUCAUAUUUAUUUACAAAGAUCUAUGCAUCAGUUGUGCUGGUGAGGACAUGAGUAAACUCUACCCCCCCCCCCUCUAUAUUUCCUAAACUAAAGCUUCAUGUAUGAACCUUGAAAAUGUUGGUAUUAUCAAACAGUACAUAACAUAUGUAAAUGACAUUUGGAGGUGUUUUACCCUUGGCUACUACCACUGGUAUGCAUCAUGAAAUAGACAAAAAUAUUUAACAUAUUCAAGUAAACUGAAAUUUACCAUCAAUAUGCCAACAGUGAUUAGGGCCAUAAGACAAGUACUUUCGCCGUUUAAGUUUGUGUCCCUUUCUUUCAUUACUAGCCUGGGGAUCUAGUUCAUGGAGAACUCUAGCCACAACACUCCGUGGGGCAUGUAAAUGAUAAUUUAUUCGAAUGGAUGCCAAAUUUUACGGUAACCAGAAAUUUGUCCAGCUCCUUCAAUUUCUGUUUUUAUAUCCCUGAGAUAUUGCUCAUCAAAAUUGACAUUUCUUUUCUUCAAGUUAUAUUUUUGUAGUUUUCUUUUUAAUGUGCGGACACACAUCGUAAUACCAUGAUAAGUUUUUAAUAAAUUGGUAUGCAAGAAAUGAA